UAGAAAUCUGAAGAAACUUCAAAGAGAAACUGCUGAGCUUCAGUUCAUUUGCAAAUUUGACACCAUCAGGAUUAAAUAAAGACUGUGACUGGCUCGCCAACUACAAAGGCAUUUUCUCCUCCCUUGGUGUUCACACCUCAACUGCUAGAAGAGGGGCUCAUCCUCCCUAAUUGAACUAACGUCAUUAUCUCUAGCCUGAUUCUUGCUUGCAUAUUUAUACCUGCCUCUGGA